rnacentral:rRNA from 1 species
UACGUAGGGUGCAAGCGUUACUCGGAAUUACUGGGCGUAAAGCGUGCGCAGGCGGUUUUGUAAGUCUGUCGUGAAAUCCCCGGGCUCAACCUGGGAAUGGCGAUGGAGACUGCAAGGCUAGAGUUUGGCAGAGGGGGGUAGAAUUCCACGUGUAGCAGUGAAAUGCGUAGAUAUCUGGAAGAACACCAAUGGCGAAGGCAAUGUUCUGGCUCGUUUCUGACGCUCAGGUGCGAAAGCCAGGGGAGCGAACGGG